rnacentral:rRNA from 1 species
GAUGAACGCUGGCGGCGUGCCUAAUACAUGCAAGUAGAACGCUGAAGGAGGAGCUUGCUUCUCCGGAUGAGUUGCGAACGGGUGAGUAACGCGUAGGUAACCUGCCUGGUAGCGGGGGAUAACUAUUGGAAACGAUAGCUAAUACCGCAUAACAGUAGAUGUUGCAUGACAUUUGCUUAAAAGGUGCAAUUGCAUCACUACCAGAUGGACCUGCGUUGUAUUAGCUAGUUGGUGAGGUAACGGCUCACCAAGGCGACGAUACAUAGCCGACCUGAGAGGGUGAUCGGCCACACUGGGACUGAGACACGGCCCAGACUCCUACGGGAGGCAGCAGUAGGGAAUCUUCGGCAAUGGACGGAAGUCUGACCGAGCAACGCCGCGGGAGUGAAGAAGGUUUUCGGAUCGUAAAGCUCUGUUGUAAGAGAAGAACGAGUGUGAGAGUGGAAAGUUCACACUGUGACGGUAUCUUACCAGAAAGGGACGGCUAACUACGUG